GACGAACGCUGGCGGCGUGCUUAACACAUGCAAGUCGAACGGAAAGGCCCUGCUUUUGUGGGUUUCUCGAGUGGCGAACGGGUGAGUAACACGUGAGUAACCUGCCCUUGACUUUGUGAUAACUUCAGGAAACUGGGUCUAAUACCGGAUAUGAGCUCCUGCUGCAUGUUGGGGGUUGGAAAGUUUCGGCGGUUGUGGAUGGACUCGCGGCUUAUCAGCUUGUUGGUGGGGUAGUGGCUUACCAAGGCUUUGACGGGUAGCCGGCCUGAGAGGGUUACCGGCCACAUUGGGACUGAGAGACGGCCCAGAAUCCUACGGGAGGCAGCAGUGGGGAAUAUUGCACAAUGGGCGGAAGCCUGAUGCAGAAACGCCGCGUGCGGGAUGACGGCCUUCGGGUUGUAAACAGAUGUCGCAGGUGACGAAGCGUGAGUGACGGUAAUGGGUAAAGAAGCACCGGCUAACUACGUG
rnacentral:rRNA from 1 species